GGAUUGCCUUAGUAACGGCGAGUGAAGCGGCAACAGCUCAAAUUUGAAAUCUGGCUUCCGCCCGAGUUGUAAUUUGCAGAGGUGGCCUCGGAGCAGCACCGGCCCAAGUUCCUUGGAACAGGACGUCGCAGAGGGUGAGAAUCCCGUACGCGGCCAGGUGCCCACCCGUGUGUGGCCCCUUCGACGAGUCGAGUUGUUUGGGAAUGCAGCUCUAAAUUGGAGGUAAAUUUCUUCUAAAGCUAAAUACUGGCCAGAGACCGAUAGCGCACAAGUAGAGUGAUCGAAAGAUGAAAAGCACUUUGAAAAGAGAGUUAAAAAGUACGUGAAAUUGUUGAAAGGGAAGCGUUUGUAGCCAGACCUGGCUGCGGUUGCUCAGCCGGUCUCUGCCCGGUGCACUCUUCCGCCGCCAGGCCAGCAUCGGUUCGGGCAGCCGGACAAAGGCGUGGGGAAUGUGGCUCCUCGGAGUGUUAUAGCCCCUCGCACAAUGCGGCUCGCCCGGACCGAGGAUAGCGUUCCACGGAUGCUGGCUUAAUGGCCGCCAACGGCCCGUCUUGAAACACGGACCAAGGAGUCUAACAUCUAUGCGAGUGUUUGGGUGUCGAACCCGUACGCGUAAUGAAAGUGAACGGAGGUGGGAGCUCUUUUGCGCACCAUCGACCGAUCCUGAUGUCUUCGGAAGGAUUUGAGUAUGAGCAUGGCUGUUGGGACCCGAAAGAUGGUGAACUAUGCCUGAAUAGGGUGAAGCCAGAGGAAACUCUGGUGGAGGCUCGCAGCGGUUCUGACGUGCAAAUCGAUCGUCGAAUUUGGGCAUAGGGGCGAAAGACUAAUCGAACCAUGAACCUGCUAGGUGGUUGAGACACAAACGUAGUCCCCUUAUAGGGGCAACACUAUCAAAUUGCGGGGACUUUCGACAAUCCGUAGCUACCUAAGCCCCUCCGCAAAGUAGGUGCUGCUAAGGUUAAAAUGCCACGGAUCGAGUGAUCCGCAGCUGAUUCCGGGCUCUAGAGCGCCCGGAUGCAGUUUACAGACUAAAUGCUGGUGGGUGCCUCGGGCACUUAAGAUAUAGUCGAAGCACCCGCAGCCGGGUGGACUUGGAAAAGCUAGUAGCUGGUUCCUGCCGAAGUUUCCCUCAGGAUAGCAGCAACGAUUUCAGUUUUAUGAGGUAAAGCGAAUGAUUAGAGGCCUUGGGGUUGAAACAACCUUAACCUAUUCUCAAACUUUAAAUAUGUAAGAAGGGCUUGUUACUUUGUUGAACGUGCCCAUUCGAAUGUACCGUUGCUAGUGGGCCAUUUUUGGUAAGCAGAACUGGCGAUGCGGGAUGAACCGAACGCGGAGUUAAGGUGCCAGAGUACACGCUCAUCAGACACCACAAAAGGUGUUAGCACAUCUUGACAGCAGGACGGUGGCCAUGGAAGUCGGAAUCCGCUAAGGAGUGUGUAACAACUCACCUGCCGAAUGUGCUAGCCCUGAAAAUGGAUGGCGCUCAAGCGUGUCACCCAUACUCCGCCGUCCGGGCAAAAACGACGCCCGGACGAGUAGGC
rnacentral:rRNA from 1 species